rnacentral:rRNA from 1 species
AGAGGGUGCGAGCGUUAAUCGGAAUUACUGGGCGUAAAGCGCACGUAGGCGGCUUGGUAUGUCGGGUGUGAAAUCCCCGGGCUCAACCUGGGAACUGCAUCCGAAACUGCCUUGCUAGAGUAUGGGAGAGGGAAGUGGAAUUCCGGUGUAGCGGUGAAAUGCGUAGAUAUCGGAAGGAACAUCAGUGGCGAAGGCGACUUCCUGGACCAAUACUGACGCUCAGGUGCGAAAGCGUGGGGAGCAAACAGGAUUAGAUACCCUGGUAGUCCACGCCCUAAACGAUGACAACUGGAUGUCGGGAGGGUUUGCCUUCCGGUGUCGUAGCUAACGCGUUAAGUUGUCCGCCUGGGAAGUACGGCCGCAAGGUUG